rnacentral:rRNA from 1 species
AGACCUUUAGUUUGAACCCCGAAACCAGGUGAGCUACCCCGAGACAGCCUAUAUUGAUUUAGGGCUAACCCGUCUCUGUGGCAAAAGAGUGGGAAGAGCUCCGGGUAGAAGUGACAGACCUACCGAACCUGGUGAUAGCUGGUUGCCUGAGAAGUGGAUAGAAGUUCAGCCUCGCACACCCCAAGCCAGAGAAUACACCGCUAAGGCACUCAGGGAAAUGUGGGAGAGUUAGUUAAAGGGGGUACAGCCCCUUUAACAAAGGAUACAACCUUUGCAGGAGGAUAAAGAUCAUAAUAUAUAAAACAUGCUGCUCUAGUGGGCCUAAAGGCAGCCACCUAAACAGAAAGCGUUAAAGCUCAGGCAGAAAGAAGUUUAUUAUACCGAUAAAAAAUCUUACUCCCCUAAUUAUAUCAGGCCAACCCAUGCCAACAUGGAAGAGAUUAUGCUAAAAUGAGUAACAGGAAGACCUGCUCUUCUCCCAGCACAAGUGUAAGCCAGAUCGGACUAACCGCUGGAACUUAACGAACCCAACCCAAGAGGGUAGUGUGAAUAGUACAGACCCCAAGAAGAACUCACAACUAAACAAUCGUUAACCCCACACUGGAGUGCUAUUAUAAAGGAAAGACUAAAAGAGGGGGAAGGAACUCGGCAAACACAAGCCUCGCCUGUUUACCAAAAACAUCGCCUCCUGCAACUAUAUUGAGUAUAGGAGGUCCAGCCUGCCCAGUGACUACGGGUUCAACGGCCGCGGUAUUUUGACCGUGCAAAGGUAGCGCAAUCACUUGUCUCUUAAAUAGAGACCUGUAUGAAUGGCUAGACGAGGGCUUAACUGUCUCCCCCCUCCAGUCAGUGAAAUUGAUCUAUCCGUGCAGAAGCGGGUAUAAUUAUACAAGACGAGAAGACCCUUUGGAGCUUAAGGUACAAAAUCCAACCACGUUAAACGACCCCCUAAAGGGCAAGAACUUAGUGGCCAAUGAAGUUUUACCUUCGGUUGGGGCGACCACGGAGGAGAAAAAAGCCUCCGAGUGGACUGGGUUAAAACCCAAAGCUAAGAGAUACAUCUCUAAGCCGCAGAACAUCUGACCAAAAGUGAUCCGGCUAAAAAGCCGAUCAACGAACCAAGUUACCCUAGGGAUAACAGCGCAAUCCUCUCCCAGAGUCCAUAUCGACGAGGGGGUUUACGACCUCGAUGUUGGAUCAGGACAUCCUAAUGGUGCAGCCGCUAUUAAGGGU